UGGAUCGUGAGGAAGUAUUGAUGCAUAAUCUAACACUUGAUCCGAGGGCAGCUUGAGCAGCCCAUAUGAUGUCAUCUUUGCAACAGAAUCCAU
rfam:Triticum aestivum genome assembly, contig: Triticum_aestivum_CS42_TGACv1_scaffold_000318_1AL